GUGCGCAGGCGUCGUCAGUAGACAUCGCGCAGGCGUCGUCAGUAGACAUCGCGCAGGCGUCGUCAGUAGACAUCGCGCAGGCGUCGUCAGUAGACAUCGCGCAGGCGUCGUCAGUAGACAUCGCGCAGGCGUCGUCAGUAGACAUCGCGCAGGCGUCGUCAGUAGACAUCGCGCAGGCGUCGUCAGUAGACAUCGCGCAGGCGUCGUCAGUAGACAUCGCGCAGGCGUCGUCAGUAGACAUCGCGCAGGCGUCGUCAGUAGACAUCGCGCAGGCGUCGUCAGUAGACAUCGCGCAGGCGUCGUCAGUAGACAUCGCGCAGGCGUCGUCAGUAGACAUCGCGCAGGCGUCGUCAGUAGACAUCGCGCAGGCGAUGGAUGAGGCGGCUUUGGCCGCCAUGUUUCCGUCGCAGUAACCGCCUUGGUGUCAGUAUUCAUUGCCAGUUUCGGGCGUUCUGGACAAUUGGGAUGCUGCAGAGUUCAUGGCUGCUCGUUGCGUGGGACAAGAAUCCUCUGCAAUGGUUUGUUUUGGCUGCCCAGGAGGUGCGUCAAGUCGCUGCCGCUCCCCUCGUGGGCGUCAGGCCUCAGAGUUCCCCGCCUAGAAAAUGGAGCUCAGCCAGUCGUGCGUACCACGGUGCACCUGGUUUUGCAGCCUAAGCGGGUCACUUUAGUGCAUCCUCCUCGCGGAUUGGAGCCUGUUUGCACCCCUAUAGCCCGAAUGAGACCCAAGUCACACGGGCUCAGAUGUUCUUCGCCCCUGGCCAUGAUCCCCCAGCCAGCCACCCGAGUUUCCAGGCCUCAGGCGCUUUGGAAACGCCUGUACGUCGCCUGUACCUGAAUGGCAGGUACUCAUCUGCUUUAGCUACAUCAUAGUCUGCACCACUUCUGCCAGCUCGAUUGCAGCCUGGAUUUGAGUCAGAAACUUUUCAUGGUGGAUGAGGGUUGUAAAUAUCCAAAGCGACUCCAGAUGAAAUUGCCCUCAUCAAAGGAAGCUCAGAUGACAGAUUUCUGCAUAGAAGCCAAAAAAGCCUUCCCUCAAGGAAAGAGUCAGUUUCAAGUAUUUGCAAACUCAGAACAGUGUCAAUUUUAGAUCACUACAAUGCUGCCCAUCAAGGAAGAACCCUAUUGCUCCCUGGCGUCUCUCCUUGAGCCCUAAACACAGUAGAUUCAGAAACUAAGUCAGCAAAUGGAGGAAGAUUCUUAACCGUGAUAAGUUGGAAAACGUGCGUCAGAGGGCCACAUCCCUUCCUCGAGUUCAGGCUACCACCUGACUGCAGGUCAGAGCUGGAAGAGACAGUGAAAAUUGCAGGUCUGGAGCCGGACUGAGAUGGGGAGUAGAGGGACCCCUUGAAACUUCAGGGUGGAUGAAUAUGAAGUUUCAUCACCAGCUGUGAUGUUUGAUAUUGGACUGUGUGCCAGUUGACACUCAGGAGUGGAGACUAGAUCUGCAAUCUGUUGGGACUGUGAUGAGGGGAUCAUCCUGCCCUCGAACCAGACCCAGCCCUGUAGCCCAGGCACUAUUGCCUGGAGUUCCUGGGCUCUCAGCGCCAGGAAAUCAUGAGGUUCAGUGUCUCAGGCAUGAGGACCGACUACCACAGGAGUGUGCUGGCUCCUGCUUAUGUGUCAGUCUGUCUCCUCCUCUUGUGUCCAAGGGAAGUCAUCGCUCCCGCUGGCUCAGAACCAUGGCUGUGCCAGCCGGCACCCAGGUGUGGAGACAAGAUCUACAACCCCUUGGAGCAGUGCUGUUACGAUGAUGCCAUCGUGUCCCUGAGCGAGACCCGCCAAUGUGGUCCCCACUACACCUUCUGGCCCUGCUUUGAGCUCUGCUGUCCUGAGUCCUUUGGCCUCACAAACGAUUUUGUUGUGAAGCUGAAGGUUCAGGGUGUGAAUUCCCAGUGCCACUCAUCUCCCAUCUCCAGUAAAUGUGAAAGCAGAAGACGUUUUCCCUGAGAAGACAUAGAAAGAAAAUCAACUUUCAGUGAGGCAUCUCGGAAACACAGGCUAGGGCAAGGAAGACUAUUCAAGACUAUUGCAAUGGAGGAAAGAGGAAAGAGAUUGAACUCAGCUCUGCUGAAACGAAAGGCUGGAGAGUUUUUAAGUACACUAUUAUUGUGUGGGAGUCUAAGUCUCUUUGAAGGUCUUUAAGAGUUUCCUCUAUUAAUCUAUGUGCUUCUCUGUUGGUUGCAAAUAUAUUUAGGAUAAUUAGGUCUUCUUGUUGAAUUUAUGUGAUGCCCUUUACCAUUAUGUUAUGCCCUUCUUUUUUUAUCUUCGUUGGUUUAAUGUCUUUGUCUGAAAUUAGGAUUGCAACUCCUGCUUUUUUCUGUUUUCCAUUAGCUUAGUAGAUUUUCCUCCAUUCCUUUAUUUUGAGCCUAUGAGUGCCAUUAAGUGUGAGAUGGGCUUCUUGAAGACAGCAUACCAUUGGGUCUUGCUUUUUUAUCCAGCUUACUAGUCUGUGUCUUUUAAGUGAGGCCUUUAGCCUGUUUACAUUAAAGGUUAGUAUUGAUAUAUGUGGAUUUGAUCCUGUCAUUGUGCUGUUAGCUGGUUAUUAUGUUGGCUUGUUUGUGUGGUUGCUUUAUAGUGACACUGGUCUGUGUGUUUAAGUGUGUUUUUGUAUUAGCUGGUUGUGGUCUUUCUUUCUAUAUUUAGUGCUCCUUUCAAAAUCUCUUGUAAGGCAGACCUGGUGGUAAUGAAUUCCCUCAACAUUUGCUUAUCUGAAAAGGAUCUUAGGAAGCAUAGUUUGGCUGGAUAUAAAAUUCUUGGUUGAAGACUUUUUCUUUGAGAAUGUUGAAUAUAGAUCCCCAAUCUCUUCUGGCUCGUGCUGAGAAGUCUGCUGUUAGCCUGAUGGGGUUCUCUUUGUAGGUGACCUGCCAUUUCUCUCUAGGUGCCUUUAACAUUCUUUCUUUCAUUUCAACCUUGGAAAAUCUGAUGAUUAUGUGUCUUGGGGAUGAUCUCCUUGUGUAGAAUCUUGCAAGAGUUCUCUGUAUUUCCUGAAUUUGUCUGUUGGCUUCUCUAGCAAGGUUGAGAAAGUUUUCAUGGACAAUAUCCUGAAGUAUGUUUUCCAAGUUGUUUGCUUUCUCCCUCUCCCUUUCAGGGAUGCCAGUGAUUCAUAAAUUUAGCCUGUUUACAUAAUCCCAUACUUCUUGGAGAUUUGGUCAUUUAUUUUUAUUUUUAUUUUUUUCUUUAUUUUUGUCUGACUCUCUUAUUUCAAAGAACCAGUCUUCAAGUUCUGAGAUUCUUUCCUCAGCUUGGUUUAUUCUACUGUUAAUACUUGUGAUUGCAUUGUGAAAUUCUUGUGUUGUGUUAUUCAGCUCUGUCAGACCUGUUAGGUUCUUUUUUAUACCAGCUAUUUUGUCCUUUGGUUCUUGUAUCACUUUAUUGUGACUCUUGUUUUCCUUGGAUUGGGUUUUGCCGCCAUCCUGAAUUUCAGUGAUCUUUGUUUCUCUCUGUAUUCUGAAUUCUACUUCUGUCAUUUCAGCUAGUUCAGCAUGGUUCAUAACUCUUGUUGCAGAACUAGUGUGGUCGUUUGGAGGACAUAUGACCCUCUGGCCAUUUGAGUUACUGGAGUUCUUGCAUUGCUUCUUUCUCAUCUCUGUGUGUGGGUGUUUCUUUAACCUCAGUGUAGAUUAAGUACAGUCAAUAGACUUCUUUUCUGAAUGUUUUCCCUGGGCUGAGGCUUUGUGUGGGGUCUUUAUUUGAAGCUGACUUCUUGUCUCUGGUUUCAGAGGCUGGAUAUGUUAGUAAGGUAUUAUUUAUGUUGAAGCUUUGGGGUGUGAUCCAGCAGGUGGCACUUAGGCUUAUUGGUCAGUUGUAUGGCUCCCCUAUGUUUCCUCACAGUUGCAGCUGUGUUUUCUCACAAUGCUCUGAAAGUGUGGGUUCCUCUCCCUCUUGAGUGCUGGCUGUGAUUAUGACUUGGGACUCCUGGGCUGCCCACUGGAACUCUGGGGUGAUCUCAGUGUUUAUGUUCCUUCCUCAAGUUGGAAGCAGCAGAGGAAGGGAUCUUAUUAGUGGUUGUGGCCAAGGGUUGUUUGCUUGUCUCCUGGGGGCUCCAUUCCAGAGAGAUGAAGGUCAGCAGUCACUCAGUGCAGUCAGCCCAAGGUGGAGCAUCUGUGCCGUGGGUCCAUGCCAGGGGUUCCCUGCCUGGUGAUGAGCAGUGGGAGAGGGAGUAUGGGACCCAUGGGAAACAGACUGAUCUCCUCUCCUUGGAUUGACUGCAGCUUGUUGGAGGUGUGAAUAAAGCACUUAGGGCCCUUGCUCCUUUGUUAGUCUGAGGGUGGCAAGGACAGUUCCACUGCAGAGGCAGUGGCAGAGAGGCUUUCAGAUGGCACUGGAGGCUCUGUUCAUGGAGUUGCUGAGUUGCUACUGGCUUCAUAGCUCUGGCAGGGGGUGGCUGGAGGCCUAGGCUUGGAGAAUCUGCCUGAUGAGGAGACAUGGGAAUGGGCACCAAUGUAACAGUCUGUCCUCUUUUCUGUCGGGCUGCUGUGGUAUUCUGGGGGCCUGCUCCAGUCCUUAGUUGCCUCAGAUAGUCCAGUACCUGGAGGUAUCACCAGUGAAGACUGUGAAACAGCAAAAAUAGCAGCAGUCCCUCCCUGAAGCUUCAUCCCAGGAUGAUACAGGCCUGUUGCCAAUGCAAAGGCACCUGUAGGAGGUGGCUGAAGACCCCAUUUGGGAGGUCCUGCCCAGUGAGGAGGAAUGGGAUCAGGGACCUGCUUAAAGAAACAGUCUGGCCAUGUUUUGGUAGAGCAGCUGUGCUGUGCUGGGGGUCCAUGUCAGCCCCUGGUUCCUCAGAUACUCUGAGGCCUAAAGGCUGGAACAGCUAAGUCAUCUAAAUGGCAAAGAUAGUGGCCCGUCUCUCCCUCUGGGAGCUCUGUCCCAGGGAGGUUACAAAUCUCUGUAGGAUGGAGAACACAAACAGGGGUGACUGUAGGUCCUGGUUGGGACAUUCCACCCAGUGAGGAGGAAUGGGAUCAGGGACCCAUUUAAAGAAGAAGUCUGACCACCUUUUGGUGGAGCAGCUGUGCUGUGCGGGGGGACCUCUUCUGCCCCCAGUCAGCUCAGACUCUCCAAUACCCAAAGGCUGAAACAGCUAAGUUAUCCAAACAGCAAAGAUGGCAGCCCACCCCUCCCUCUGGGGGUUCCAUCCCAGGGAGAAUUCAAACCUCUGUCAGCUGGAGAACAUCAGCAGGGGUGGCUGGAGGCCCCAGUUGAUCACCUGCUUCCUGAUGAGGAUAGGAGAGGCACUUGGUACAUACCACUUUAUCAAUUUAGCCAGUGUCUUCUGCAGCAUCCCCAUUUCCUCAGAGGGUCAAGACCAAUUUACAGUCACCUGGUAAAGGAGAACAAUAGACCUUUACGUCUUGCGUGAGGGAUAUUUACAUAACCUCAUAGUGGCUGCUGACCUGAGUAGAUGGAGUGCUCUGGAGAAGGCAUGUGUUUUCCAUUACAUUGAUGAUAUCACUAACUUCUGAGUCUUUUUUCAGCUUAGAAACUGCAGGCCCCACCUUGCUGUCUCACUUCGUGAACAGAGGAUGGGCGGUCAAUGUAGACAAAGUUCAGGGUCCAGGCUUAUCAAUCAAAUACUUGAGUGUCAUCUGGUCAGGUAAGACUAAAGUUGUUCCAUCUGUCAUUAUAGAUAUGGUGUAGGCCUAACCAUGUCCUACCACACCAAAGCAGUUGCAAACCUUCUUAGGCCUUCUAGGGUAUUGAUGUCUUUUUAUUCCCCAUGUGGCCCAACUUGUUAGGCCCUUGUACUGCUUAGUCAAGAAAGGGGCCCACUGGGACUGGUCCACAAAGGAGGAUGAUGCCUUUGGACAAGCUAAACUCACAGUGAAGUGAAUACAAACCUUGGGUGUUCUAGGGCAGGGACGGCCUUGUAAAUUUGACAUAGCCAGUUACUCCAAGAGGUUUGGGCGCAGCCUGUGGCAAAGGCAAGGACACAGAUAUGUGCCUGUAGUAUUCCGGUCCCAACUAUGGAAGGGUGCUGAAGUUAUCUGUAGAAUCAUGGAUGAACAAUGCUACACUACAUAUCAUGCCUUACAACAAGGGGAGGAUGUUACAAAGGGGGUCCCAUUCUAGUCUGCAGCCAGCACCCCAUAGCAGGUUGGCUGAAGGACACCUUCCAGAAACCAAAGUCUGGGAAUGCCCAGACACAGAGUGUGGCCAAAUAGCAUGCAUGCUUGCACAGAGGAGCACAUUAACUAGCACAGGGAGCACAUUAACUAGCACAGGGCUCCAUUUGGUGCGUGGCCCUGUCACCUACAUGACAGCUGAAGGAGGGCCUUUGACACAGACACUGAGCCUCCACAAAUUACCUCCUCAUGCAAGAGGGACAGGGCCCAAUUUCUGACCAGGCCUGGUACAGAGGUGGCUUGUCACGAGGCAAUGCCUGCACUUGGAUAGCCAUGGCCAUCCAGCCAUCCACUGAUAGUAUCCGGCUUGAUACAGGCAAAGGACAUAAUAGCCAAUGGGCUGAGCUGUGAGCCACCUGGAUUGUCUCUUCUGUGAGCCGGACCCAAUAGUCCUGUGCAUCAAUAGCUGGUCCAUCUUUAAGGGACUUACCAUGUUGCUACUACAGUGGGAAACACCGGAUUGGAUGGUAGCUGGCCACCCCCUUUGGGGAGGCUGACAUGUGGAAGGACAUUCUCCAUUGUAUCUGGGACAUGCAUAUAAUGGCCUAGCAUGUGGAUGCCUGCACAGCACCUGUACCACCUGGAAAUCAGCAGGUGGACUAGCUAUCCCUCAUUGACCUACUGGAGGAAGUUCUGUUUCUAACUUCCAAAAAGGUGUUAGAAACAGAAGAUGUGGCCCACUGGCUAACAAAAAGGACAUUAAGAACAAGAUACCUAUCGGGGGACCUGUCCCGAUAAUCAUGUAGGUUCUUUUCUAUUUUCUUAAGCAUUGGCUGGCUUGAGAAAUAAAGGGACGGAGUACAAAAGAGAGAAAUUUUAAAGCUGGGCGUCCGGGCGAGACAUCACACAUUGGUAGGAUCCGUGAUGCCCCACAAGCCACAAAAACCAGCAAGUUUUUAUUAGGGAUUUUCAAAAGGGGAGGGAGUAUAAGAGUAGGUGUGGGUGACAGACAUCAAGUACUUAACAGGGUAAUAGAAUAUCACAAGGCAAGUGGAGGCAGGGUGAGAUCACAGGGCCACAGGACUGAGGUGAAAUUAAAAUUGCUAAUGAAGUUUUAGGCACCACUGUCAUUGAUAACAUCUUAUCAGGAGACAGGGUUUUGAGAUCAACCGGUCUGACCAAAAUUUAUUAGGUGGGAAUUUCCUCUUCCUAAUAAGCCUGGGAGUGCUAUGGGAGACUGGAGUUUAUUUCACCUCUGCAAUCUCGACCAUAAGAGACAGGUACGCCCCGGGGGUGGGGCCAGUUCAGAGACCUACCCCUAGGUGCGCAUUCUCUUUCUCAGGGACGUUCCAUGCUGAGAAAAAGAAUUCAGUGAUAUUUCUCCCAUUUGCUUUUGAAAGAAGAGAAAUAUGGCUCUGUUCUGCCCCACUCACUGGAGAUCAGAGUUUAAGGUUAUCUCUCUUAUUCCCUGAACAAUUGCUGUUAUCCUGUUCUUUUUUCAGGGUGCCCGCAUUUCAUAUUGCUCAAACACACAUGCUGUACAAUUUUCGUAGUUAAUGCAAUUAUUACAGUGUCCUGGAAUGGUAUACAUCCUCCUCAACUGACAGGAUUAAGAGAUUAAAGUAAAGACAGGCAUAGGAAAUCACAAGGGUAUUGAUUGGGGAAGUGGUAAGUGUCCAUGAAAUCUUUACAAUUUAUGUUUAGAGAUUGCAGUAAAGAUAGGCAUAAGAAAUUACAAAAGUAUUAAUUUGGGGAACUAAUAAAUGUCCAUAAAAUCUUCACAGUCCACGUUCUUCUGUCAUGGCUUCAGCCGGUCCCUCCGUUUGGGGGUCCCUGACUUCCCGCAACAGGUACCCUUUGGGCCACAGUGAAGAACUGGUGCCCACCACUAUGACAUAAAGACAUAGUACGCAUCUGUCAAUAAUGUCCUAUGUGUGUGCAGGAGAGCCGCAGCCCCUUGCUGCAUGAUACUGGGCAGAUCAGCCAGGGUCGGAGCCUGGCUCCGUGGUGGCAGGUAGACUAUAUAGGACCUUUGCCCGUAUCUGAUGGCUGCUGCUAUGCCUUGACUUGUGCAGACCCCUACAAUGGGGCUAAUGCAGGCAUAUCCCAGCAAGCGUGCCACCCAGAAAACCACCAUAAAAAGACUAGAGCAGCUGUGUGCAGCAUAUGGCAUCCCCUACCGAUAUGGAUGGGGACCAGGGCUCACACUUUACUGGACAAAAAUACAUUAUCUAUUAUGGACUGAGUGUUUAUGUCUUCUUCAAAAUUUAUAUGUUGAAGCCCUGAAACCCACUGUAGCUGUAAUUGAAUGUGGAGCCUCUAAGGAAGUGCUUGAGGUCAUAAGGGUAUGGCCCUGACCUGAUAGGAUUGGUGUCCUUAUAAGAAGAGCCACCAGAGAGCUUGUACUCUCUCCCUGCACACACAAAAGAAGAGGCCAUGUCAGCACACAGUGAGAGGGCAGCUGUCUGCAGGCCAGAAAGAGAGCCCUCAACAGAAACGGCAUUGACCAGCACCUUGAUCUUAGACUUCCAACCUCCAGAGUGUGAGAAAAUUAACUUCUGUUGUUUAAGCCACCCCGUCUGUGGUAUUUUGUUAUGGCAGCCUAAGUGUCCUACUAUGAUAUCUUAAUAUGUGUUAUCUAGAAGGAGGAAAGGCUAAAACAAAGUCAAAGCCGUGAAUACCGAGGACUACAGGCACAUACCACCAUGCCAGCUAAUUUUUGUAUUUUUUGUAGAGACUGGGUCUCGCUGUGUUGCCCACCUUGGUCUCAAACUCCUGGCCUCAAAUGAUUCUCUUGCCUUGGCCUCCCAAAGCACUGAGAUUACAGGCAUGAGCUGCCAUACCCAGACAAGGAUUACAUGAUUGUUUUGAAAAACAUUAUCGUUGGUUAAAAAGAUUAAUAACAAGGGUGGCAUCAGUUUUGAGUUUGGACAGGCAGUUGCUGGGCAAAUGUCUGGUCUUAUUUAAAGCAUUUCACUCUUAUGUUUUUGAGAAAAUAACUUUUAUCUAAGGAAUGAAAAUAUUUUCAAUUUUCAGGCCCAGAGAGGCAUUAAAAUGAGACAUCCAAUCAUGUCAUACUCCUCCCUUUGAGCUAUAUCUUCAUCUCUGGAAACUGCUUGCUAUUGCCACAAGUAGCCAUAAAUUAACCUAAUAAUGCCACACCUGACACUAUAACCCACACCCUAUAACUUAAUAAUAUGUAGCCAGUCACUAACCAGUGCCAUUUCUGUAAACCCAUGAAAACUCCUGACAAACAACUUUGUAUCAACCCCACUGCUUGUCCCCCUUUUUUGCCUUUAAACAUCCACUUGUAACUGCUGCUAAGCAGAAUGUGCAUUCACUGCAACUUGCAUCCAUGAUCCCAGGUUGCAGUUCUCAAGCUUGGCCCAAAUAAAGUUCUACUUAUAUAAUUUUGCUUCAGCUUCUUCCUUUAAGGUUGGCAUACCCUACAUGGUGUAAUUUUUUUCCCUGUUUUUUUUUCUUUCAGGGGCUGGGACCUAAGUUCUUGUUGCAGGUAGCGGGGACCAGCCUACAUGCGUGAAGUGUGCAGGUGGAACACAGAGCACUCCACCCACCCAGGUGGAUAUCAGAGGAUGGGCGUUCAGGCACUGGUGAGGCCCAACCCUCUCCCUCAGUGACAUCUGCGUUCCUAAUAUUCUUUUUGAACAUCUGAAAUUCCACCAAAUUCCUGCCUGUCAUCUGGGAGAGACUCCUUGAGGCCAGGUGGAAAUCACACCCAGGUGUCACCAGGAUAAUGAUUCAAUCUCUUCUGCACUUAUUCCAGAGGGCAAGCCCACGACAGGAUGAAAUCCCAAUGCUCUCCUGUGUGCCACGUUCCAGAAGCUCAGGUUCCCCAGCAGCACCUGGGGUUGUGGGAAAGUCUUUCCUGAGGCCAGCCUGGGGCAUCUGGGAUCAGGGGCUGCUUGCCUUUCUGGAGGGGCUCAGCUCAGGACUGAGGGGGAUUCUGGGCUGGAACAGGAGUGCCUGAGUCCCGUCCAGAUGGUGUCUAUGAGCUGCAGGGGGCCCUCAUGCCAGGUUCUUUCUUACAUAGAGGAAACUAGGGUGACAAAAUGUGACCAAUGGGAGUUGGAGUUUACUCUUAUUUCCAAGGAAGCCAUGAGAGUCCUGUGACCCUGGAAAGAGAUGGGAUCCCCAGUAACUAGGGACAUGGCAGUGAGUGAUGCAGCCUGGCUUCCUGUCCUCAGAGAGUUUCAGGCCCACUGUCCCUGGACAGUGACAACCCAGAGUGGGCAGCUCUGGGAUGGGGGACAGGCACAGACUGCUUCUUUGGGAAUUUUGAUAUGGGGUUUUAGUGGCCCCUGCUGCUUGCUGGGAAAAUUCCCCACCUUGGAAUUGUAAUCGGUUUCAGGAGAAAUGACACACAGUUGCUCAUGGAUAUAAAAUAAAUUUUAUAACCAAAAUAGAACCCAGUGUCAGCACUCCCCAAGAAGAAGGAUUCAGGCUUGGUCCAGUGUGAAGCAAGUGGGCACUUAGGCAGGUGGCUUUGCCUAUUUUUUGUGCAUGGGCCCAUGGUGAGGGUUGCUGCAUGUUGGCUGGGUUUUGAGGGGUUUGAAUGUCCUUCUGCUGUGCAGAGAGGGAGCACAUGCUCUGCCCAGAUGUGCAGUGGAUGUGACUAAGGACUGGAAAGUUGAUAAUCUCCAAAACUGAAUGUUCUUGCCAUACAGGGAGAUGAAAGGGCUGCUAGAAAAUAGCUUAUCUAACCCUUUGAGAAAAUGUAAAGAAAAGGUUCCAACCCAGGUGUGUGUGACCGCAAAGUCUCAGGAUUGCUGAGACAGGGGCUCUUGCAUCCACGGAGCCCCGGGUCAGUCCCGCUGCCCUCCCUCCCACUCAGCCUGUGACUCCCCGACUCUGUCAUCAUCUCCCUCUGCUGAUUUCUCUUCCCAGCCUGACUCAGCUGCCCUGAGAGAUCAGGACCAAGGCCAAGGACGGCCAGCUGGGCUCCUCCCUCCCCAGAGACACCAACCCAACCCUGCCCUGAGGAAUGUGCUUCUCCUUGGCACUGGCUGGUCUCCAGACCUAAAUUCAACCCUCUUUUUAGCAGGCUGAAUGCCAAGCCCAAUCUCAGCCCGCCCAGGAAGGACCUAGGACUGAGGCUGUGAGCUCUCAACUUGUUUUUUUGGGGCAACAGGCCAGGGCAGCUAGCCAGUGAUUUUAGGAAAGACGAGGUGAACCUGUGCCCAGAGGAUUUUUUCCUCCCAGUGUUUAGUAACUGUUUGGCUGUGACUCACUAGGAAAAACUCAUAUCACAUUAUUUAUGGCUUACACACAGCCCAAAAGAAAGUUUAAUUAAACAGACGAAUAAGAUACUGUAGCGUGCACAUUCCUCUAUUCUUUACUGAUGCUAGUUUAAUAUCUAAGAUACCCAUGGUGACAAAUAAAUUGGUUCACAACCUGAAAAAGUGUCACAAUCCCCAUGUUGGAGAUCACUGCUCUACCCUGCAGCUGCAGGAGAGGGGAGGCCAGAAGUGAGAGUGAGAAAUGGGGUCGGGGAUGUGAGUGCUUAUCUCAUCCACCCAUGAGAGCGAGUGGGCCUGCAGGACUCUGGAAAUUGCAUGAGUAUUUCUGCCCCAUCAGCCUCCUGCCUGGUCUCCUGCUCCCAUCUCAGUCCUCCCAACCAGCCUCCUCCCAACAGAAGGACACACGGACUUUCCUGAAUCACAAUCUGAUCACUUAUAUUUCCUGCUUAGGGCCUGCCUGUAGCUCGGGUGCACUGAGAAGAAAGACCAGUUCUCACCGAGGCUCAUAAGGGGAGGUGGACAGGGGAAGCAAUGGGUAUGGUGGGAGCUUCCAUGGCCUCCUUGGACUCCAGAUCCUCUCAGCACCUCCAUGUGUUCAGCAGCCAGGAAGUUCAAUUCUUCUUGUUCAGGAGUUUUUAGGCUGGGCAUGGUGGCUCACACCUGUAAUCCCAGCACGUUGGGAGGCUAAGGCGGGUGGAUCACCUGAGGUCAAGAGUUCAAGACCAUCCUGGCCAUCAUGGGGAAACCUCAUCUCUACUAAAAAAUACAAAAAUUAGCCGGGCGUGGUGGCGGGCACCUGUAAUCCCAGCUACUCGGGAGGCUGAGGCAGGGAGAAUUGCUUGAACCUGGGAGGGGGAGGUUGCAGUGAGCCAAGAUCGUGCCACUGCACUCCAGACUGGGUGACAGAGCAAAACUCUGUCUCAAAAAAAAAAAAAAAAAGUUUUUAUACUUUGGUCUUUAUCGCCUCCCCAUCAUCACCUUUCUUGGAGGUUAGUGGGUGACACCGAAGGUUCCUUCCCUCUAAUCCUCAAAUCUUUUGGUCUUUCUUCUGGUGACUGCCGUGAUGCUGAGGCUACCUGGGGACCCUACCCUAAGUCAUAUUUUUAGCAUGAGCUGAUGCUGUGUGAUCUGAAAGAGGCUCAUUAGGAAUAACAAAAGACACUCCUGUCACUCAGGAAGUUCCAAGUUUAGCAUCAUAAUAGGAAGAGGGCCAAAGAACACACAUUUUCAUGUUACAGCACACCUGGUAAGCCAUGGGUUCAUCAGAUUGGACCCCCCUUACUCUGCCAAAUUUGCAGCACUCAUGAGUUACCAAUCCCAAGGGAGGACUCCCACUGCAGGGAGGAUGGCAAAGGUCACCACUGCGCUAACCACCCGGAAUAGGGGUCUGAACACUUCAGCCACCGCAUCUUGGGCUGCACUCUGACUACACUGAGCGUGGUGAACAGAACACCCACAGCCACAGCCAGUUCCACAAAGCAGGUUAAUUACUUACAGACAGGCAGCGAGGGACAGCGGAAGCCUAGGCUGCAUGACUCACUGGUCCCCCGAGGCUCAGGAGCACGGCCCAGGGCAGAUAGAGUCUCCCGUGCUUGCCCCACUUGCACCACAGCUGAGGACUCAGCAGUGAGCUCUGGGUUUUAUAUGUGGUGGACACGCCCUGGGCUAGUGUUACAGGAGACCCCCUCUAGAAGGGAUGGGAACGAGGCCAGGGCUGUCCUGGGCAGUUUCUCUGUAGCUCAAGUUGUUGCAUUCUCUGGGAAGAAUAGAAACGAAGCCCGGGCACUUUCAGGCAGUUCCUCCUUUCUUAGGAUGGUGCAUUCUGAUAUAGUUUGGCUCUGUGUCCCCACACAACUCUUCUCUCAAAUUGUAAUCCCCAUGUGUCAGGGAAGGGACCUGGUGGGAGGUGACUGGAUCAUGGGGGCAAUUUCUCUAUUGUUGUUCUCAUGAUAGUGGUCGAGUUCUCACGAGAUCUGAUGGCUUAAAAGUGUGUGGCAGUUCCCUGCUCCCUCUCUUUCUCUCCUGCCAUCAUGGAAGAUGUGCCUUGCCUUCCCUUCACCCUCUGCCAUGAUUGUACAUUUCCUGAGACCUCCUUAGUCAUGAAAAACUGAAUCAAUUAAACCUCAUUCCUCUAUAAAUUA